rnacentral:rRNA from 1 species
CCUACGGGAGGCAGCAGUGAGGAAUAUUGGUCAAUGGGGGAAACCCUGAUGCAGCGAAGCAGCGUGAGUGAAGAAUCGCCUCGGCGCGGUAAGCUUUGUCAGCAGGGGAGUAAAUGACGGUACGUGUGGAAGAAGCUACGGCUAAUUACGUGCAAGCAGCCGCAGUAAUACGUAGGGGGCCAGCGUUAUACGGAUUUACUGGGUGUAAAGGGGGUGCAGAGGGCGAUGCAAGCCAGGAGUGAAAGACCGGGGCGCAACCCCGGGACUGCUCUUGGAACUGCGUGGCUAGAGUGCAGGAGGGGCAGGCGGAAUUCCUGGUGUAGCGGUGAAAUGCGUAGAUAGCAGGAGGAACGACGGUGGCGAAGGCGGCCUGCUGGACUGCAACUGACGUUGAGGCCCGAAAGCGUGGGGAGCAAACAGGAUUAGAUACCCUGGUAGUC